UACCUAAACCCAUAGUUUUCUAAGGGCAUGGCAUCAAAUCGUUCAGCAUAUUGACCCCGUCAUGGGCGUGCUGAACGUUGCAAGUCGAAAGGCUUGUAUGCCGAAAGGCA
rnacentral:sRNA from 12 species